UACGUAGGGUGCGAGCGUUGUCCGGAAUUAUUGGGCGUAAAGAGCUCGUAGGCGGUCUGUCGCGUCGGAUGUGAAAGCCCGGGGCUUAACUCCGGGUCUGCAUUCGAUACGGGCAGACUAGAGUGUGGUAGGGGAGAUCGGAAUUCCCGGUGUAGCGGUGAAAUGCGCAGAUAUCGGGAGGAACACCGGUGGCGAAGGCGGUUCUCUGGGCCUGACCUGACGCUGAGGAGCGAAAGCGUGGGGAGCGAACAGG
rnacentral:rRNA from 1 species